rnacentral:rRNA from 1 species
UUCCAGACUCCUACGGGAGGCAGCAGUGAGGAAUAUUGGUCAAUGGGCGGAAGCCUGAACCAGCCAAGUCGCGUGAGGGAAGAAGGCCCUGCGGGUCGCAGACCUCUUUGGACGGGGAGCAAGGCCGCCGACGUGUCGGCGGAAGGAGAGUACCCGUAGAACAAGCAUCGGCUAACUCCGUGCCAGCAGCCGCGGUAAUACGGAGGAUGCGAGCGUUAUCCGGAUUUACUGGGUGUAAAGGGAGCGUAGACGGCGACGCAAGUCUGGAGUGAAAGCCCGGGGCCCAACCCCGGGACUGCUCUGGAAACUGCGUCGCUGGAGUACGGGAGGGGCAGGCGGAAUUCCUGGUGUAGCGGUGAAAUGCGUAGAUAUCAGGAGGAACACCGGCGGCGAAGGCGGCCUGCUGGACCGUGACUGACGUUGAGGCUCGAGAGCGUGGGGAGCAAACAGGAUUAGAUACCCUCGUAC